GCGCCUGUAGUCCCAGCUACUUGGGAGGCUGAGGCAAGAGAAUUGCUUGAACCCAGGAGGCGGAAGUUGCAGUGAGCCUAGAUUGUGCCAUUGCAUUCCAGCCUGGGCAACAGAG
rnacentral:snoRNA from 1 species